UACGAAGGGGGGCUAGCGUUGCUCGGAAUCACUGGGCGUAAAGCGCACGUAGGCGGCUUUCUAAGUCAGGGGUGAAAUCCUGGAGCUCAACUCCAGAACUGCCUUUGAUACUGGAGAGCUUGAGUCCGGAAGAGGUGAGUGGAACUCCGAGUGUAGAGGUGAAAAUUCGUAGAUAUUCGGAAGAACACCAGUGGCGAAGGCGGCUCACUGGUCCGGUACUGACGCUGAGACGCGAAAGCGUGAAGAGCAAACAGG
rnacentral:rRNA from 1 species